rnacentral:lncRNA from 1 species
GUGAUUUCAAUCGGAUUUUCGCGGUCUUACAGAUCAAGGUAACGGAGUUGGUUUAACUCAAAGAUGCUACUGUAGGGAUUCAGAGUUCCAGAGAAGUGAUUAUGAGAAAGGUCUAAAAGUGUAAGCUUGGUUAGAUUCCGCACAAGUGGGAAACUACCAGUGAGCUCGUUUUGGGAAAAGUCUACGUAGGAAAGGAGGCUUAGGUUAUUAAAUGGGAAAGGAACUUGGCCAAGGAAGCCAUUUGAAGAAACGGACAAGACCUCUAACCUGUUUAGAUUGCCAAAUUCGGAAGGAAGUGAAGAGGAGAUGAAGUUAUUGUGACUAAGAUCAAGGUAACGGAGCUGACUAAAUCCAAAGAGGCUACUGUUGGACUUCAGAAUUCCACUGAGGCAGGCCCUUAGCUGUAGCUUUGUGAUUGCACCCGUCGAGUUAUCGCACCAGACUCCAUUAAAGGUGUCACUAUGGUUGCAAUGGCUGGUAUCAAACUCGUUCUUGAACAACGUAAAGGCUUGAACCUGGUGGGGACGGCAAGCGACAAGGCCAACAACAGGGUUUUUAAAAAGGAAUACGCUUGAUGAGGAGUAGGAGACACAACAGAAUAAGAGUAGCGAGAGUAACCGUGCAACUGACAUGAUCGUAAUGAAAUUUUUUAUAAGAAGAAUGAUUUUGGUUUAAGAAAAGUGAGAGAGAAGAGGAUUAGUACCUAAGUAUAAGUAAAGAAGAGUAUGUGGUUUUGAAUUGGAGUGUAUGUCACGACCCACACAACAUGACUUAGAGCCACUCAAAGUUGAUGUCUAAGAACCACUCAAAUCAGUAAAUUCCACGUCAAAUUUUUUUUUCUAACGUAUAACUUGGAUUGAAAUCACAUCAGUUUGAAUGUUCUCACAUAGUGGAAUUAGUCAAUACCCUUAGUACUUUGCAAACUAACAAAAUUUAAAUACGAUUAAUUGUAAUCCUGCUGGAAAUUAGAACAGAAUAGAGAAGCUACAUUUGUUUUGGGGCAUGAGCAGAUAAAGAUAUGGCAGAAAUAAGAUAAACAAGUGGGUUACUAGAUUCUACAACUAUUUAUAAUUUAUUAAAUUUUAUAAUAUAAUUUCUUUUUUUAUUUAGAUAUAUUUUCCUAAUAACUGAUAUAUAUAUAUUUUUCUGUUUAUAUAUAACUAGUUUAGGAUCCGUGCACGCACGGGUUUAAUUCAUUAGUAAUUUCUGCUUGAAUUUUAAAUAUUUGUUUCAAAUAUUAUUAUUCUGGCUUAUUAAAUCACAUAUUGUUCGUGUUUAUCAUACCUCUUUUUUUAAUGUUCUAUAUUUUUAAUAUCUAAAUUUAAAUUAUGGCUAAAUACGUUAUUUUUGAGUUAAAUAAGGACCAAUAUAGUUCUUAUAGAAAGCAAGUGAAAAUUAAAAACAAAUACAGUUGUUAUGGGUUUUUCUAGUUGGGGAAGUCUUUUUUUUUAAUAAACCCAAUAAUUGAAAGUAGUCCAAAUCAUUAAUAAAUAAUAUAAUUGGGCAGCAUUAAAAAGAGUAAGUCGCAAUAUAAUAAGAUUCAGACUUCAAUUCGUGGUUUUUUCUUGAGAUUGCCAGUUGGUUCUUCCUGCUCUUCGUGAUUGCUUUCACAAUUCUUGUCGUUCGAAAUUGGCUGAAGAAUUGAAGACAAACAACCAAGAAAACAAAUGUUAAGUUAACUAAUAUAUUCUUAAUAUAAUAACGCAAGCAAAAGUUGGCAUAUUUUAUUAUAUGUAUCUUUAUGUGGUUGAGAAUCUUUGAUACUGUGAAACUCUGAUAUGAUCCUUCAAAAUCUUUUUUCUUAAUUUUUAUUUCGAAUAAAUAAGUUUCACCUACGAUAGAUUGUACACUUCUGGGAAUGUGGCCCAAUUCUUGUUCGCUGGAGUUUCUUUUGAUCUGUAUCAAAAUUAGCUCAACUAUUAGAUAAAAUUUAAAUCAACAUAAAUAUAAUAUAUGUGCAUAAUGUAUCAUUCUUACGGAUUCUGCCGUUGUUCCAGUGAUUUUAGCACCAUCUUCAUCAAAUAUGACAAAAGUUGCAGAAUCUUCUCCAUCAUCUACUAUUACUUCAAUUCUGAAACUGGAAGAUAAAUAAUGGGUUAGUAUCUACAAAACUUAAUGAUAGUAAAACUUUAAAUAUCAUAAUAAUACUGUCAAUAAUACCUCAGCAAUCCUACGGCUUGUGAUUUACCACAUUUUUGGCAAGAAAGUGAUGAUCCUGACUUUGUCAACUUUGUUGAGCAACUUGAACAGGAUAUGUAAUUCCAACCUUUACGUGACACAAUCUCGGUAAUAGUUGCCUUGCAAACAAAUUUUUUAUCCUGCAAUUAAUAAGGUUGAAAAUAUUUCAGAAUUAUCUUAGUAUCACUAAGAUUUAAUAAGAUAUGCAAUAAAUUAUCAAUUGAAUGUAGUUGCAUUACCUGAGGGACAUCAGAUGAGAUAAAAUCCCAAAGAUCAUUAAUUGAAUGUUGGGCUUCAGAAUCUUUAUUAUCAAUUGAUUGUUCUUCAGCCAUGUCGCCUAAAUUAACAAUACACCCUCCAUCGUAUUUGAAGCUAAAGAGAUACAAUGAUUUUAAUUAGUUAAAUAAAUUGAGUAUCAACAAAUUAGUAAUUUUGAAACUAAAAAAAAACAACAAAUAUACCUUUUUCGAAACGCAGUAGCAGAAUCAAAAUCAUGAUUCAAAUAGAAUUUGGUUCCAGAAGAUGCUGACAGACUAAUUGCACCUUGAUACGUCUUAAUCAAAACACUUGUCAUGAUGAGAACAAUGUUAUCACUUUCCAUCCCACGAUAUUUAUCUUCCAAUUGUUCUGCUUGUUCUGCCCAUAUUGUUGCUGGUAUUUCUGUUCCACUGUUAAUUCAUUUAAAAAGACGAACAAAUAAGAGACAAACACAAAACAAUAGUUGUCGUUAAAAGUAUUAUAAGAGUGUAAUCUAAAAAAAAAAAAUAAACUUACCCUUCUAACAAUAUAGUCAGAGUAACCCUUCUUAGGUUGACUGUUGUUUGACUACGAACAUCUGCUUUGUCCAUAUUUUUGAUAUAGCCGAUUACAUCUACAUUAUAAAAAAAUCAAAAACACAUAUAAAUCUAUAAAUUUUAAAAAAUUAAAUUUAAAAAAUCAAGAAUGUACCGUAUAAAUCUUCAGAUGUAUCUUUCAGUUUAGCCAAAUCCUCGUAAUUUUAAAGUCGAAACUUUUCAUGAGCUAUUUGACAAUAUUGUUGUCCUACAGAGGCUAUUUUUGUUCUCUCAGUUAAUCUAAUCAUAAAUUUAUGAUCAGAAACUUUGUAGUUCUUAUUGCAGUCUUGGUAAGAUUUCCUUCACACAAUUGAUCUGCAAACUUUUCCAGAAGAGAAUGUGUACAGAACCUUGAAUAGUAUUAUUCUAUAGAAAAAAAAUGGAUUAAAGUUAGAUAAUAAGUUUUAAAAUUAGAAAAACAUAUUUUUUAAUUGAACAAUAAAACUAACCUUCUCAUCAAGUAAUAGGAAAUUAAUUCCUAUGAGCUCAUUGUUUCUUUUCAGAUUUCUUGCCUCCCACUUUCUGAUUAGACGAACUACAGUACGACGGUAGGAGCGUUUUCUGUUUAACUGAUCCAAUGUCAAAUACUCCCUGUUGUUGUUCAGAAUUUCAGCACUCAUUGUUUUUUUUUUGAUAUUUGAUAUUCCUGAAAACAAUAUAAAAAAAAAUAAUUUAGAUAUAAAAUUAUUAAAUUAUUAUGUAGCCCUAGAUAAUUAUGAUAGCCCUAGAUAAUUAUGAUAGCAAUGCAUCCAACAGAGAAAAUAUAGUUAAGAAGACGUAGCAAAAAGAUGAUGAUGUCUAACCAAGAAUGAUACGCAGAUGCCUAAGAAAUAGUAGUGAGAAUUUUAGUUAUAUUGUUAGUUAUAUUGUUGAGAAGACGUAAAAAAAAAUGCUGAUGCCUAACCAAGAAUUAUACGCUGAUGCCUAAGAAAUAGUGGUGAGAAUUUGAGAAUUUUGGUUGUGAAUUUGAGAAGCUAUCAAACAGGUUUUUAUAGUGGUGAGAAAUUAGAAUUUCUUUUCCUUUUAAAAUAGUAUGACCUUUUUAAUUUUUUUUUUUUAUAAUCUUAGUUUUAGGAACUAAAGUUCUUUUUUUCAUAUCUUAAUUGAAUUUAAUAUGUUUGAUUUCUUUUUCACGUUUUUAUCCUUUAUCAAAAAUAUAUACUUUUAGUAUUUCCUUUUUUAAAAUUAAGAUUUGUCAAAAUAUAAUUCUAACUGAAUUAAAAACGUUUUUAUCCUUUUUUAAUUUUUUUUUUACCUUUUAGGAUAAGAACCAACUUUGAAAUUAAAAUUUAACUCUAAUUUAAUUAUACAUUUUUAUUCUUUUUUAUUUACCUUUCAAGAUAGGAACCAAGAUUUUUAUCUUUUUCACGUUUUCAUCUUUUAAAACAAAUUAUGAUUUUUUAUUUCUUUUUUGAAAUUAAAAUUUGUCAAAAUAUAAAUCGUGUCAUCAUCUUGCGAAUCUUUAAAUUUAAUUAAACAUGUGUAAAAAUCUGAUCGUUUUAUUUGACACGUGUCAUCUUUUAAAUCUUUAAAUUUAAUUAAACAUGUGUAAAAAUCUGAUCGUUUUAUUUGACACGUGUCAUCAUCUUGCGAGUUACUACGUUUCAAUCAUUCUCUUUUAUAUAAUAAGAUUUGUUUUUACUAAUUUUUUUUUCUAGUAUAUAUAUGACCGCGAUUAGAAAAAUAUUAUUCUAACAUGUCUGUUCAUAUUAAUUUGAAAGUAAAACAAUCACAAAAACGUCAUUAUAACAUGUCAAUUUAUAUUAAUCUGAAAAGAACCAAGACUAUUAAUACAUAAUUAUAACUCAUUUAUUCAUCUUAUUUGUAUAUUUUAUAUAUUUUUAAAGUUUGAAUAUUAAAAAAUUGAAACUUAUUUAAUGAAAUAUACAAUAAUAUAUUAUUUUUAUCUUUGUCAUUAAAAAUAUUAUUUAAAUUUGAAUAUUUAAAUUAAAUCUAAAUUAAUAUCAAAUUUAUUAUUUUGUAAAAAUAUAAUAAUAACUAAUUUUUGAUUUUUGAUAAAUACUAUAACUUAUAUUUAAGAAAAUCUAUAACAAAUCUAAAUUCAAAUUCAAAUUUAAAUUUUUGAAUUUAUUUUAAAAUAUAAAUUAAAAUAUAUAUUAUUUUAUUAAUAUUACAUUAAAUUGACUUGUUUGAUAACAUAAAUAAGAGUUAUAAAAAACAGAAUAAUAAAAAACUAAGCAAAAUCUGUUUGGACACAAAACAUAUUUCUGUUUUAAUAGUAUAUAUACCAGUCAUAUCUAAUAAAAUAGUUUGUUGAAACUUUAUUUCUCUGUUUGAAUUUUCUUGGACUGUUUGAUUCAAGAAUUUAUCUCAAAUCAAUAGGAGACCAUCGAUAUGACCCUCUCUUCUUCAAAUCAGGUUUUGAAACUUGAAACUCGAUUAUCUUUCCUUUUAAUUAUUUGUAAAUCCUUUACUAUUAUUCUAAACUAUAAACACAAAUGAAUUUUCUGUACAUAAUUUUUUUUGGUUGGGAAUAGUUUUUGAUUAAAAAAAUAAAAGAAUUUUGUGUUCUUAGAGUGAAAUGACAUUAAUUUUGUGUUAUCUUAUUAUAUAAAAGAGAAUGAUUGAAACGUAGUAACUCGCAAGAUGAUGACACGUGUCAAAUAAAACGAUCAGAUUUUUACACAUGUUUAAUUAAAUAAUUUAACUAGAUUUAUAUUUUGACAAAUCUUAAUUUCAAAAAAGAAAUAAAAAAUCAUAAUUUUUUUUAAAAGAUGAAAACGUGAAAAAGAUAAAAACGUUUAUAAUUAAAUUAAAAUUAUAGUUAAUUUUAAAGGUGGUUCCUAUCUUAAAAGGUAAAUAAAAAAGGAUAAAAAUGUAUAAUUAAAUUAGAGUUAAAUUUUAAUUUCAAAGUUGGUUCUUAUCCUAAAAGGUAAAAAAAAAAUUAAAAAAGGAUAAAAAAGUUUUUAAUUCAGUUAGAAUUAUAUUUUGACAAAUCUUAAUUUUAAAAAAGGAAAUACAAAAAGUAUAUAUUUUUGAUAAAGGAUAAAAACGUGAAAAAGAAAUCAAACAUAUUAAAUUCAAUUAAGAUAUGAAAAAAAAGAACUUUAGUUCUUAAAACUAAGAUUAUUAAAAAAAAAAAAUUAAAAAGGUCAUACAAUUCUAAAAGGAAAAGGAAUUCUAAUUUCUCACCACUAUAAAACCUGUUUGAUAGCUUCUCAAAUUCACAACCAAAAUUUUCAAAUUCUCACCACUAUUUCUUAGGCAUCAGCGUAUAAUUCUUGGUUAGGCAUCAGCAUUUUUUUUUACAGUCUUCUUAACAAUAUAAAUAAUGUUGUGAAAACUUAGAAACUUUAUUAAUCACUGGAAUGUAUAUAUAGAGUACAUAGGGAAUCUAGGUUAAGUACAAUGCCCUGAUGGGCCUAAUGGGGCCGGGUAUAAAAGUCCAUAUAUGAUAUGUGUUAUAACACUCCCCCUUGGACGAAGUGGACCGGGGCCAGCUACUCAAUCGGGGAUCUCGAUAAUGCGCCUGGGGGAAUGUUGGCCCUCAUUAAAACCUUUACCGGGGAAAAACCCGAGUGGGAACAAAACCAUGGUGAAGGAAAAAGAGUACAACACGCAUUACUCCCCCUGAUUGUAGCAUCACUGCAGAUCUCUAAGUCUAUACAUUCCUAUCUGUUUGACGAGCUUCCGGUGUGUUGAAGUAGGCAAUGAUUUGGUGAAGAGGUCAGCUGAAUUCUCACUGGAUCGGACCUGCUGAACGCUGAGAGUGCCGUCCUUCUGCCAGUCUGAGGUUGAGAAGAACUUCGGUAGAAUGUGCUUCGUCCGAUCUCCUUUGAUAUAUCCUUCCUUGAGCUGAGCUAUGCAUGCCGCGUUGUCUUCGUACAUCACCGUGGGCUGUGUGUCUUCGUCCAUACUACAAUCUCUGCGGAUGUGCUGAGUCAUGGAGCGCAGCCAGACGCAUUCCCUACUAGCCUCAUGAAUGGCUAGGAUUUCAGCAUGGUUUGAUGAAGUGGCAGUGAGUGUCUGCUUCAUUGAUCUCCAAGAGAUGGCUGUUCCUCCAUGCGUAAAAACGUAGCCAGUUUGAGACUUGGCAGUGUGCGGAUCUGAUAGAUAUCCUGCAUCGGCGAAGCCGACUAACCCAUCUUUAUUUUUGUUAGUAUAGAAGAGUCCUAAGUCUUGAGUACCUCGAAGGUAUCUUAGGAGAUGUUUUAUACCGUUCCAGUGCCUCUGAGUUGGGGAUGAACUAUAUCGAGCGAGGAGGUUCACGGCGAAACAUAUGUCUGGUCUAGUGUGACUAGCCAGGUACAUUAACGCUCCUACAGCACUGAGGUAUGACUUUUCAGGACCAAGGAUUUCUUCAUCAUCCCUUUUGGGACCAAGAGGGUCAUCACUUAACUACCAUUGGGCUGGUCAAUGGGUGAGCUUGGUCCAUAUUAAAUCACUUGAGUACCUUUUCGAUAUAAGCCGAUUGAUGCACAAGGAUUCCUCCUUUGAUGUACUCAAGUUGUAAUCCCAAACAGUACUUUGUUUUGCCUAGGUCUUUCAUUUCGAAUUCUGCUUUUAAGCAGUCGACUGUUUGGGAGAUCUCACCAGAUGUUCCGAGGAUGUUUAGAUCAUCCACGUAUACUGGUAUGAUUACAAAUCCUUUGUUUGAGUACUUCUUGAUGAAGAUGCAUGGACUGAUGGGGUCAUUUUUGUAGCCUUCUUUGAUGAGGUAAUCGCUGAGGCGGUUGUACCACAUACGCCCACUUUGUUUCAGUCCAUACAAGGAUUUGUUCAGCCUGAUGCAGUAUUGAUCUCGAGAUGCAUUUUUGUCUUUUAGUUCAAUGCCAUCUGGGAGUCUCAUAUAUAUUUCGUUGUCCAGAGGCCCAUAGAGAUAUGCGGUUACAACAUCCAUUAACCGCAGAUCAAGAUUUUCUCUUAUGGCCAGACUUAUGAGGAAUCGGAAUGUUGUUGCAUCCACCACUGGAGAAUAAGUCUCCUCAUAAUCGAUUCCGGGUCUCUGUGAGAAUCCUUGUGCUACAAGCCGUGCUUUGUAUCGAACGACUUCACCGAGUUCGUUCCUUUUGCGCACAAAGACCCAUUUGUGGCCCACUGGCUUGAUGUGUGAUGGGGUCCGGAUGAUCGGACCGAACACGUUUCUGAGUUUGAGACUCUUUAACUCCACGUUUAUGGCUUCUUUCCAUUUUAGCCAAUCUGUUCGAUGUGUACACUGUGUUAUUGACGUGGGUUCUAGAUCCUCUUGCGUGAGCGCAACAUCAAGUGCUACUUUGUAUGCAAAAAGUGCAUUUAAGUCGACUUCUUUUCGAUUCCAUUGUAUUCCGGACAUAUUGUAAUUGAUGGAGAUCUCAUUGUUAUCUUCUGAACAUGGAGAUUCGGCGUCCCGAACUUCCAUUGAGGGUUCAUUAGAUUGAGUCUCAGCCGCGGCUAUGUCUGAUAUUGCAGGAAUCCCAGUUUCGGUUAUUGCACCUUUCUUUGAUUUCCGGGGAUUCUUAUCUUUGGAACCGAGAGGUCUGCCCCGUUUGAGACGUGGUGCAGACUCUGUAGCAACUUGGGUCUGUCCCGUUGGGACAGCUAUUCGUACUGGUGCAUUACAAGCUGGGAUGUACGAUUUGGUUACUUUGGUCGGGUCAGCAAAGGAAUCUGGCAAUUGAUUAGCUAGCUUUUGAUAAUGAAUAAUCUUUUGGAUCUCUGAAUCACAUUCUAGAGUCCGAGGAUCUUGCCAAUUUAAUGAUGUUUGAUUCCAUGAAAGAUCUUUGACCAGCUUGUUUGUCUCACCACCUAAAGAGGGAUAUACCGAUUCAUCGAAUUGGCAAUCCGCAUAUCUGGCCUUGAAGAGAUCUCCAGUGGUUGGCUCGAGAUAUCUUAUGAUGGUGGGAGAGUCAAAACCAACAUAUAUUCCCAUCCUUCUUUGAGGUCCCAUUUUGGUUCGAUGUGGUGGAGCAAUGGGUACAUAUACUGAAGACCCAAAUGUUUUGAGAUGGGAGAUGUCUGGCUCAUGACCCGAGAGUAGUUGGGAUGGGGAAUAUUUGUGUUCACUAGAUGGCCGGAUGCGUAUGAGUUCAGCAGCAUGUAAUACUGCAUGUCCCCAUGCUGAGGCCGGGAGCUUUGAUCUCAUGAGUAAUGGUCGGGCUAUCCAUUGAAUGCGUUUAAUGAAUGAUUCAGCCAAUCCAUUUUGAGUAUGGACAUGUGCUAAAGGAUGUUCCACGGUUACCCCCAUGGCCAUACAGUAGUCAUUAAACGCUUGUGAGGUAAAUUCACCAGCAUUGUCAAGGCGGAUAGUCUUUAGUGGGAAGUCAGGGAAAUGGGCCCGCAAUUUGAUGAUUUGGGCCAAGAACCUAGCGAAGGCUUGGUUCCGAGAGGACAAGAGACAAACAUAUGACCAACGGGUCGAUGCGUCUAUAAGGACCAUGAAGUACCGGAAUGGUCCGGAAGAUGGAUGUAUAGGUCCACAGAUAUCGCCCUGGAUUCCUUCUAGGAAAUGAAGUGUUUGUUUAGAGAUUUUAACUGGUGAAGGCCGAGUGAUCAAUUUGCCUUGAGAACAAGCUGUGCACAUGAGGUGUUGAGGAUAAGCUCGGUUUUCUUUGAGGGUAUGCCCUUGAGAGUUUUGAAUUAGUUUACGCAUCAUAUUUGCACCGGGAUGACCGAGCCGGUCGUGCCAAAUAGUAUAAUCAGUAAACCGGGCUUUGAGAGUGGUAUUAGCUUCAAACAUACUGACUUUAGCAUGGUAAAGUCCAGUAGAGAGCGCGGGUAUGGUUUCGAGGAUUUGUUUAUGGCCGUCUACGGUUUUAGUGACUAGGAGGGAUUCUUUGUUCCCUUGACCUUGGGUUUCUAUGUGGAAACCAUUCUGUCUUAUAUCCUUGAAGCUCAGAAGAUUUCUCUUCGAACUAGGAGAAUAUAGAGCAUCUGGUAUUUCAAGUUGUGUGCCAUUUGAUAGCAACACAUAGGCAUGGCCAUAUCCUUCGAUAAGGUUUGAGGGACCCGCGAUGGUGCUAAUAUUUGCGGUUUGAUAGGUUAGGUUUAUGAAGUAACUUUUGUUUCUUAAGAUAGUGUGGCUGGAUCCACUAUCUACGACUAUGGUUUCCAUUUGCUGGUGUGCUUUUCCACCUUUGGAUUUCUGACAGGCUAAUGAAACUGGGAGCUAAUAGACCUCAGUUAGCCGCUACAAAUUCCAAGGAUUGAUCACCAAAACUGGAGAAGCUACUGGUUGAAGAAGGAAAACUCGGAUCUGGUUUUUUUUUUCGGUUGAUCGUCGUGUACUGUAAGUGUGCGUGAGGGCGCGUCCGACGUUGGAUCGACAAACGGUUUUCACCAGUAGAUUCGUCUCGUCGAGGGCUUCGAUUUGAUAUGUAGAUCGUCUUCUGGUUCCUCACGGUUUGGAAGAUAUGCGUCUUUUAAGUUUCGACUUGCUUUUAGGGUUUUGGUGGUGGCCGGAUUUAUUAGGGUUUUUCGCUCAGAGAGUCUUAUCGUGCUGAUAACGUGUUGUGAAAACUUAGAAACUUUAUUAAUCACUGGAAUGUAUAUAUAGAGUACAUAGAGAAUCUAGGUUAAGUACAAUGCCCUGAUUGGCCUAAUGGGCCGGUAUAAAAGUCCAUAUAUGAUAUGUGUUAUAACAAAUAACAAUAUAACUAAAAUUCUCACUACUAUUUCUUAGGCAUCAGCGUAUCAUUCUUGGUUAGGCAUCAUCAUCUUUUUGCUACGUCUUCUUAACUAUAUUUUCUCUGUUGGAUGCAUUGCUAUAAUAAUUAUCUAGGGCUACGUAAUAAUUUAAUAAUUUUAUAUCUAAACUAUUUUUUAUAUUGUUUUCAGGAAUAUCAAAUAUCAAAAAAAACAAUGAGUGCUGAAAUUCUAAACAACAACAGGGAAUAUUUGACAUUGGAUCAGUUAAACAGAAAACGCUCCUACCGUCGUACUGUAGUUCGUCUAAUCAGAAAGUGGGAGGCAAAAAAUCUGAAAAGAAACAAUGAGCUCAUAGGAAUUAAUUUCCUAUUACUUGAUGAGAAGGUUAGUUUUAUUGUUCAAUUAAAAAAUAUGUUUUUCUAAUUUUAAAACUUAUUAUCAAACUUUAAUCCAUUUUUUUCUAUAGAAUAAUACUAUUCAAGGUUCUGUACACCAUUCUCUUCUGGAAAAGUUUGCAGAUCAAUUGUGUGAAGGAAAUCUUAUUGAAAUUUGCAAUUUCAAUUUGCAAGACUGCAAUAAGAACUACAAAAUUUCUGAUCAUAAAUUUAUGAUUAGAUUAACUGAGGGAACAAAAAUAGCCUCUGUAGGACAACAAUUUUGUCAAAUAGCUCAUGAAAAGUUUUGAUUUAAAAAUUACGAGGAUUUGGCUAAACUGAAAGAUACAUCUGAGGAUUUAUACGGUACAUUCUUGAUUUUUUAAAUUUAAAUUUUUAAAUUUUAUAGAUUUAUAUGUGUAUUUGAUUUUUUCCUAAUGUAGAUGUAAUCGGCUAUAUCAAAAAUAUGGACAAAGCAGAUGUUCGUAGUCAAACAACAGUCAACCUAAGAAGGGUUACUCUGACUAUAUUGUUAGAAGGGUAAGUUUAUUUUUAUUUUGAUUACACUCUUAUAAUACUUUUAACGACAACUAUUGUUUUGUGUUUGUCUCUUAUUUGUUCGUCUUUUUAAAUGAAUUAACAGUGGAACAGAAAUACCAGCAACAAUAUGGGCAGAACAAGCAGAACAAUUGGAAGAUAAAUAUCGUGGGAUGGAAAGUGAUAACAUUGUUCUCAUCAUGACAAGUGUUUUGAUUAAGACGUAUCAAGGUGCAAUUUGUCUGUCAGCAUCUUCUGGAACCAAAUUCUAUUUGAAUCAUGAUUUUGAUUCUGUUACUGCGUUUCGAAAAAAGGUAUAUUUGUUGUUUUUUUUUAGUUUCAAAACUACUAAUUUGUUGAUACUCAAUUUAUUUAACUAAUUAUAAUCAUUGUAUCUCUUUAGCUUCAAAUACGCUGGAGGGUGUAUUGUUAAUUUAGGCGACAUGACUGAAGAACAAUCAAUUGAUAAUAAAGAUUCUGAAGCCCAACAUUCAAUUAAUGAUCUUUGGGAUUUUAUCUCAUCUGAUGUCCCUCAGGUAAUGCAACUACAUUCAAUUGAUAAUUUAUUGCAUAUCUUAUUAAAUCUUAGUGACACUAAGAUAAUUCUGAAAUAUUUUCAACCUUAUUAAUUGCAGGAUAAAAAAUUUGUUUGCAAGGCAACUAUUACCGAGAUUGUGUCACGUAAAGGUUGGAAUUACAUAUCCUGUUCAAGUUGCUCAACAAAGUUAAGUCAGGAUCAUCACUUUCUUGCCAAAAAUGUGGUAAAUCACAAGCCGUAGGAUUGCUGAGGUAUUAUUGACAGUAUUAUUAUGAUAUUUAAAGUUUUACUAUCAUUAAGUUUUGUAGAUACUAACCCAUUAUUUAUCUUCCAGUUUCAGAAUUGAAGUAAUAGUAGACGAUGGAGAAGAUUCUGCAACUUUUGUCAUAUUUGAUGAAGAUGGUGCUAAAAAUCACUGGAACAACGGCAGAAUCCGUAAGAAUGAUACAUUAUGCACAUAUAUUAUAUUUAUAUUGAUUUAAAUUUUAUCUAAUAGUUGAACUAAUUUUGAUACAGAUCAAAAAAAACUCCAGCGAACAAGAAUUGGGACAGAUUCCCAGAAGUGUACAAUCUAUCGUAGGUGAAACUUAUUUAUUCGAAUUAAAAAUUAAGAAAAAAGAUUUUGAAGGAUCAUAUCAGAGUUUCACAGUAUCAAAGAUUCUCAACCACAUAAAGGUACAUAUAAAAUAUGCCAACUUUUGCUUGCGUUAUUAUAUUAAGAAUAUAUUAAUUAACUUAACAUUUGUUUUCUUGGUCGUUUGUCUUCAAUUCUUCAGCCAAAUUUGAACGACAAGAAUUGUGAAAGCAAUCACGAAGAGCAAGAAGAACCAACUGGCAAUCUCAAGAAAAAACAACGAAUUGAAGUCUGAAUCUUAUUAUAUAAGAUUUUUUUCCACAUCUUUUUAAAGAAUAAGCUGUUAGGUUUUUUUUUAUUUUUUUGGUCAAGUUUGUUAGGUUGCUUUUAAAUUUUUUAAUCUUAUCUUAUUAUAAACACAUAAAGUUAUACUAUAGUUUUGGUUUCUAUUUUUUCACCUUUUAUCCUUUAAUUAUGUUUCUUGAUUAUAGAUAGAGGGAAUAUAGACAUAUUACUCUGAUUUUGAUUGCUCAUUACGCCCCACAUGUAUAACAAAUACUUUCCAUACAAUCUGAAAUUUUGAUACAAAAAACAGAGUAAUUACCCAAGCAUUAUAAUUAUACCUGACUCAUCAAUUGCAGUUUGCAAAAUCUGAUGGUUAAUUUGGAUAAAGAAGUCAAAUCUAACAAUUAAUAAUUACAUAAACUAAAGCAAUUAAAAAAACGAAAGUGCUAAUAUAGUUACUUUAAAAAAUAUUUACAACAUUAAAAAAGGGUAAAAAUAACAUAGAAAUUCAAAUGAUGAAACAUCCAAGCUGCAAGUAGACCAAGACUUGCUCUUGCAAAACGAUGAAAACUCUGAAGAACACAUUGCAAAGAGUACAUAUCCAGAUUUCCAUGCUUUCUUUAAAGACAAGAAUUAUCUAAUUGAACGUGCAAUUCUUACUCCUAGAAACGAGACGGUAGAUAAAGUGAAUAACUACAUGUUAUCUUGCCUAGAAGGAGAAGCAAAGGAAUAUUUGAGUUCUGAUAGUAUCAGAGAUGACAAAGAAGAAGUGGCGAAUCAACAUAUUCUUUACCCUACAGAGUUUUUAAACACUCUGAAAUUCUCAGGUAUUCCAAACCACCAACUAACUCUGAAGAUAAAUGCACCAAUCAUGUUACUAAGGAAUUUAAAUCAAAGAGAGGGGCUUUGCAAUGGGACAAGAUUAUUAGUAACUCGCAUGGGCACAAGGAUUAUCGAAGCGGAGAUACUAACUGGAGAUCAAGUAGGGAAAAAGGUUUUUAUUCCUAGGAUAAUUCUAACACCAACAGAUGCAAGAUGGCCUUUCAAACUAAGAAGACGUCUAUUCCCUGUGCGAGUUUGCUAUGCAAUGACUAUCAACAAAAGCCAAGGUCAAAGCUUGAACAAAGUUGGUCUAUAUUUAAUUUACCAAAUCAAGUUUUUUCUCACGGGCAACUAUACGUUGCGUUAUCAAGAGUGACAACAACUGCUGGACUCAAAAUUCUUAAUGUUGGAACAAACAAAUAUGACAAUGAUAUCUUAGAUAACAUUGUAUACCAAGAAAUUUUCAACAACAUAUGAAAUUUUAACAAUUAGUUUAGUUCGUUCAAAAUAAAAAUAUAAGUCACUUAAUUGAGUUUGGAAGCUUACUUUCAUUGGAUUCUCUUUACUUCUUCGGCUCUACCAAAUAUGAAGCGAAUCAAAUCUUCUCUCUCUCUCUCUCUCUCUCUCUCUCUCUCUCUCUCUCUCUCUCUCUCUCUCUCUCUCUCUCUCUCUCUCUCUCUCUCUCUCUCUCUUUGCCUUCUUUUGCAUCAUCAUCACUAUCAGCGAUUGCCCAUCUAUAUGCAAUCUCUCAGUACUUCGAAAACUCUUAACUCCGACAACAUCGAUGUCUCCGCCGUUUUAGUAUUGCGCCUUACUCUUUUUAAUACUGUCCAAUUAUAUUGUUUUUUAAUGAUUUGGACUACUUUCAAUUAUUGGGCUUAUUAAAAAAAAAACUUCCCCAACUAGAAAAAAACAAAACAGCUGUAUUUGUUUUUAAUUUUCACUUGCUUUCUAUAAAAACUAUAUUGGUCCUUAUUUAACUCAAAACAUUAAAAAUAUUAAAAAAUAUUGGUCCUUAUAAGAACUAUAUUUAACGUAUCUAGCCAUAAUUUAAAUUCAGAUAUUAAAAAUAUAAAACAUUAAAAAAAAAUAGGUAUGAGAAACACAGAGAGAUUUAAUAAGCCAGUAAUAUUUGAAACAAAUAUUUAAAAUUCUAACAGAAAUUAUUAAUGAAUUAAGGUUGCACGGGUCCUAAUCUAGUGAAAUUAUAAUAGGAGAUCAAUCACACGUAAUAGAAGAUAUUGAGUUUAAAUUUUAAUUGGAGAUCAAUCACAAUUCACACCUACUAGAAGAUGUUGAUUAUUAAAUAAAUAAUGAAUGAAAAUAAAAAUUUUAUAUUAUUAAUUGAUAAAAACACUUAAAAAAAAUGUUAGUCCCAUAUAUUAUUUACCUGAGUGUUCUGCUGAGGUGUUCUGCUGAGGUGUUCUGCUGAGACUCAACUUAUUCGAUUUAUUACUAUUGUGCUAUCUGCAUACUCUUAUUUUAUUGAUAUUAAUAAUGUCAUUUAUUUUCAACGGCAGAUAAAGAAGAGUGCAAUUUUUAGUUUUUAAUACGCUUUCCAAAGACGGUUAUUUGUCGCUCUCAAAAACAAUUUCCACAUAGCCAAACUCUUCCGUUUUCUGGCGUUUUCGGCCGGCGCUGGCUUCUCUGGCGUCGGUCGGCUUUUCCUCUCUCUAGGUUUUUCAAAUUUCUUCCUUUCUGCAUAAUUAAUAAUGGGAAGUCGAGAAUCCCAAAUCAAGGUCUUGUGGAUUUCUACGAUUUCACUUCUCUACAACUUCGAUAUUGGCUCAUCCACAAUUUGAGUAAUACUUCUUAGCACCCAAAUUUCAUCACUCUACAUGAGAUCUAGAGAUUCGAGGACAGAUUCUGUUGUUUCCGUUCCCGACCAGAUGUAUCAUCAUCAAUCGAUGGGUUUGAAUUUUCCUUCUCAACCUCGCGUCCUCUUUCUCUCUUUCGGGAAGAGGUUAUUUCCGACCAUAACCUGGCCACAACCCAUGAGUCUUUGUGUCGGCAUAAUGCCGUCUCUAAACUGUGUAUGUCGUUUCAUCAUUGGAACGUAUCGUCUUCAACAUCAAAAAGUUCGUGACUUUAGCCUUGAUCUUUCCAACUUGAGAAAAGGAAAGCAAGUUUGGGUAUGGGACCCAAGAGUAAACGACUGCGUUUUUCUCAUUUGUGGGAUGGGAUUCUGGAUCUCUCUCUUUGCCUAUUAUCGGAUUAUGAUUUUGAUUCUUCACUUGGCCUUUCAGAACCAACGAAGUGAUGCUGGAGGGGAAAUAAGACAACAGGUUAUUGUGUCUCAAUCCAUUAUUUGGAGUAGACAUGAUUUUUGGGUGCAACAUCAUGGUUGGGCUGAGUAUGAAAGGUUAUUGUUGAUAUGUAAUAUCACACUAAGGGGUAAAACAGUAAUAUUUGAAUCAAAAGUCUCGUUUUAUUAGUAGAUAGUUCGGAAAAAUACAACUUGAGUUAAGGUCGUCGUAAUUCCGACGACCUCGUUAGCAAAGGGAGAACUCGAGAUAAAGUUGACGAUCUCAAAGUUCUUCAAAGGUCUCUGCUGUUGAUUUGCGGAUGCCUCGAAUGAAUGAAAUUCUCCCUUAUUUAUACGAAUUCUAAGGCAGUUUGAGAAAAACUUUCCUUUUCCUUCUCGAUAUGGGAUUUAACAUUUUCUUCCUCGAUAUUUCCGGAAAUCCUCCGUGAAAUUCGGGAAAGUCGGCCAAUUUUCGUAAAUUGGGCUUUAAUGGGCCUUCUAGAAAGUCGUAUGUCGGCCCAUCCGAUUUAACGUCGAUUCCAAUCUUCGUAAACCGAGGUCUUUCCGGGCCGGUCUCGAUUAACACCGAGUUAAACCGGAGGUGCGAAGUACACCACCAACAGUAGGUCCCCCCUCAGUUCGUCGAAGGAGUUUUUUUUUUUUAUAUGAGUUCGGCGAAAUUCAUGUACUCUUUUAACUUGGUUUGGAUUGAGACCGGAAAUAACUUGGCGGAAAAAAUCUCUUACCGCUUUUAUCUUGUGCCACUUGGCAUAACCUCCAUCUUUUGACUGCUUCCUUGUACGGACUCUAUUCAGUGCGGGCUUUCUAACGGGCCUCAAUCCUCUAUAAAUACUCCUCUUUAUUUUCACUUCGUCACUUCUUCUCCACCAUUUAAGGUAUAAAGUUCUACCUUCUCUCUAGAAUUUUCUCUCUCUAUUCCUUUUUUUUAGUUCGUUUUUCUUUAAGUUUGGCGAUUUUAAUUGUUUGUAUCACAAUCCAAAAUGGGCGACCUGCCCCAUUUUCUUUUAAAGCUUAGUGGAACUCAUUUUGUGAAGCCCACUUUGUGAAGCCCAAUACCGAAAUGGCUGACCUUCAUUAUCAGCGAACUUAAAGCCCAAUAUUUCCAUCCGACCUUCAUUUUGUGAAGUCCACUACGUUGGAGCCCAUUUCUUUUUUAAUUUGCUGACCCUUGCAACUUGCCAACUCCCUUUUUGAUAUAACUAGGAUAAGACCUGCGUGUACACGCAUGUUUGUAUAUUAAAUAUAUUUUCUAACUUGUAUUUAGUAUAAAAUGAUAUAUAUUUGUUAUUAUGUCUGUUGGAGUUACUAUUUGAUUUGUAGGAAAAAUAUCCUAACAAAUACAACAUAGAAGAUUGAGUAUUCGAUGAAUUUGUUUUGAUACUGCAUAAUUAAAUUUUAUUUUCCAAUUUUUUAUUAAAAAAAUAAACAUAAAAUAUGACAAUGAUCUUAUAAUAGAGAUUUUGUGAUGAGUCUUUCAUAAGUAAAAUUGUUUGACUUUCAUCCCUCCUAAUCUCUUUGCCUUUUUUUUGGCAGGUUGUGCAUUCGUCUCCCCCAAACCUCAAAGCCAUUUACCAUGUGUUACCACCAUGUUUAAAUGUGCCAAUUGAUUCAUAACAUUCUUUUUCAGCAUCAAAGAGUCUCAUUGCAUAAUAGAAAAUUUAAUGUUUAACGCCUAUAACGGUUUGAAUAUCUUCAUAGCUCAUAAAAUUUCUUCUGAUUUAUCAUCAUUCAUAGAUAAUAUAUCUCAGAUGAUGAUGAAUGAGUGUUAAAUAUCUUACUGGUGCUUUUUCCUCUUUUUUGUGUUUCUCUUGUCGAGAGAAUUUCCUUUACAUCUGUCUCAAACCCAAUGCUAAUGAAGUUCAGAUGUUUCAUACAAUUGAGAGCUAUUUUAGGUUUGCAAUUCAUCAUGGCAAGGAGGUGGUUGAUUGGAGAUACACAUGCAUCCUACCAUAGCAUAAUUUCCUUCAUUCGUCCACCACAGGAUUGCUAAUACACACAUACCAACAAUCACUACAAGAAAAACAUCAUUUUACAACGGCCAAAAUGGUCGUUAUUUCGUCGUAAUAGGGCUAUUACGACGGACUACCGACGAAUUCAAAAUCGUCGUAACCUCAUCGUCGUAAUAGACAAAUCGUCGUAAAAUCGUCGUACAAUUUACGACGGUUACGUUUCGUCGUAACAUCGAGGGAAAAAGAUCGUCGUAAAUGUGUCGUACAGUUUACGACGAUUUUACAUUGAAUUGCGUCGACUUGAUCUUUGCCUGGACCGUCGUUAAGUGGUCGUUAAUAGUCGACGUAAGAUUGUCGUAAAAUAUACGACGCAAAAAUCGUCGUAAAUCAAUCGUAAAGUAUUUAAUCAUUUCGUCGUAAAAUCGUCGUAAAACACGGACGUAUAAUCGUCGUAUUUGUCGUCGUACAUUUUGGUCGUAAAUCAUCGUACUAUUUACGACGAAUGUACGACGGUUUUAUAAAAUAAUAAUAAUUAUAUUACGACGAUUAUACAACGUUUAAUAUAAUUGAAAAUUAAAAAAAAAAAAUUAAUUCGAAUUAAAAUUUAAAUAAAAAAAUAAUUUAUAAUUUAAAAUUUAAUUAAAUUUCAAAUUAAAAUUAAUUGUAGUAUUUACAAAAAAACCCUACAGCUCUAAAUCUAAAUCUACAUCAAUAUCGUCGAUCCCGUCACCGGUCUGCUCCCCAUCGUCCUCGACGUGUUCCUUGCCGGGUCUUCGGUUAGAUGCUUCCGCCGGCGCCUGAUCUCCGGUUCUAGGAGGAUCAACCCCGAGAGACCGGAACAUCUCCUCAUCCGUCUGCACCGGUGGUUGCCUCCUAGUAGAUGACCCGGCAGACGAUCCGACAACCCCAUUAGCCCGCAGCCUGUCCAACUGCGCCAUCAACACCGGGUUGUCGGCUCCCAUGAUCUCGAAGAGACCGUACAGCUGGUCGAUCCUCGUCUCGUAACGGGUCCGCAUCUGAUCUAUCUCCUGGCGGAUAACCGGAUCCGGGACCCGGACGUGACAAGUCUUCGUAGCUCUCGGGGUAUCACGGAUGGAUCCUAUCCCUAAUACCCACCCCUUUUUCUUUGGGGCAACCUAAAAAUAUUUAAAAACAUUAUGGUUAGAAAUUCAAUUUAAAAUUAAAAUUACAUUAAUUAAAUAUAUUAAUUGAAUUUACCUCUUCGAAUAUCUGGUCCAUCUCCGCCACCGUCAGCGCUGGGGUCGAUUGGACCGAGCUACCUCCGGGAGACGUUGGACGCGCCUGCUGAGUCAGUUGCGUCUGCCGCUCCUCGAUCGCCGCACAGACAGCGUUGUAGAUCUCCUCCGCCCGAGGAUCCGUGAAUUCGCCGUUCCGCUUUUUAUGCGUCUCGGCGAAAACCUUCGUCAUCGGAGGAAGUUCUCCUUCGUUUUCUUCGACCUACAAAAUCAAAAUGAAAAAAUUUAUAAGAAAAAUAAGGGUUACUUAUUUAAAAACAAAAAAAAAUAAUUUUAAUUAACUUACCAUCAUAAGGCGUCUUCCGGUAAAAGGAAUCUGGCCGGAAGUGUGUGGGACGUUCUUCCGAUUUCCCGCAUCGGUGUUGUUGAGGCGGAAUUUGACCUUCUCCUUGAAGGCCGUCUCCACACGUCCGUGUGCGGAUGUUUUCCAAUGCCAGUUUUGCUAAGACAAAAACAAAAAAGUUAGUAAUUAUUAUAAAAAGUAAAAAAGAAUAAUUAAAAUUAAAUAAAAUUGUAAAUUACUUACCGCAAAACACUUGAACCAAGUGUCAAGUGUGGCCUGAUCCAGCUUCUUUCAGCUAGUAUGGGGUUGUACGAAAAACCUCUUGAUGAUAUCCGCAACGUUACGACCGACUGCAUUGUCGGUCGUAAACCUAGUCAAAUACAAAGAGAAAGUAAAUUAAUUUCAAAAAAUUAUAAAUAUUAAUUAUUUUAAAUAUUUUUUUAAAAAAAUUUCGUACCAAUAUGUUCCCGGGGCUCGAUCCGGGUCGAGUUUGUUCAUUCUCCAACGACCCGGCUGUGCCAGAAGAUCCUGUACCGUAAACUGGGUAUACGGUACAGGCUGGAUCGGAUCAGAUGCAGGAUCGGCCGCUGCAGGGCCGCUGGUUCGGCUGGUGGUGGUGGAGGCGGUGCCGGCUGCGGUACAACGGCCGGUUGAGAAACCGUCCGUUGUGUUCCCGAGGACUCCGGGAUGACUGAUCCAGUCGCCGAGGUAGACGGGGCCGUACCGUCAGAAUCUACCAGCUGUCGGUAGUGAAACCUCUUAGCCCGAGGAGCCAUAUCAACGUAAUCUACAAAAUUUAAAAACAUUUGUUACUAAUUUUUCAAAUAUUUAUUUAUAAAAUCCGAGCCUAUCUAAAUUCCGAAACCUAAAUCUAAAUUCUGAACCUAAAUCUAAAAGAAUAUGUAAUGAAAUUAUUUUUAAAAAAAAGUUACAAGAGUAUUUGGCUGGGAUGGAGGGAGAGGUUUAGGAGAGUACGGAGUUAGAGAGAGAAAGUUUACUAGAGAGAGAAGGGAGAAGAGAGGAAUGAGCGACGAAAGGGGGAAAACUCGCGUCCCUUAUAUAGAUUUUGUGAUCGUCGUAAAAUCGUCGUAACUUUACGAUGAUUUUACGACGAUUUGGUUGUAUAUCAGUCGGUCCACUGCAUGAUAUGACACGUGUCAUGAUGAGAGCGUUUGACUGUUACGAUGUUUUUACGACGAUUUUACACAAAAGUGUCGUAAAGCCGUCGUAACGUCUAAACAUUUAUAACCUCGUACCUCAGAUCAAGAGCCUAUCCGGUGAAAACGUUACGACGGUUCCACGAUGGUUUUAGAGAACUUAGUCGUAAAACCGUCAUUGAAAUUCCAUAAUCUAAUAUAUAACCUUUCACUUAAUAUUUACGAAAACAUGCAUGAACUUCUAAAUAUGUAUGUUUUUUUUUCAAAUUUUUGAUUUUGAUCAGAUUGAUAGCAUUUCAUAUAAAAUAAGAUAACCAAUCAAAAACAUUUGUGAAAUACCUUACAACCAAUAAGAUAUAAAAGAUUCAAAUUCUUGGAUUUCAACAUUACGACGAUUUUAUUUCAAAAUAAGAUAACCAAUCUAAAUAUGUAUGUUUUUUUCAAAUUUUUGAUUUUGAUCAGAUUGAUAGCAUUUCAUAUAAAAUAAGAUAACUAAUCAAAAAAAUUUGUGAAAUACCUAACAACCAAUAAGAUAUAAAAGAUUCAAAUUCUUGGAUUUCAACAUUACGACGAUUUUACGACGAAAUAGUGUACUCGUCGUAAAAUCGUCGUAAUAUUACGACGAUAUUACGACUGAUCGUCGUAAAGACGUCGUAAUGCUUAAACCCUAUUCAUUCAGGACUUAAAACCUAGACUUAGGGUUUAGGGUUUAGAAAACCGUCGUAAAACCGUCGUAAAAUCGAAUAUUAGGGUUUUUAAAAAAUUCAAACAAACAAAGUUACAAAUUACAUAAUAACAAACAUUCACUAAAUACAAUGCAUGAAACUCAAUCAGAUUCAUCUUCCUCUAUUACUUCAUCACCAUCACCGUCGUCUUCACAUUCUUCUUCUGUAUCAUCGGGAAGAUUUUCAACUUGCCUGUUCCGAGGGUCUAUUAAGAAAAUCUCCUCAUCAACAUCUGGUUCAGACAGAUCUACGCAAGUGUCCUGUUGAAGUGGAACAUCCUCAACCCCUACAAUCUUGCCCCUCGGAGCCACUAUAACUACAGCUAACCAUGAGAUUCCUGUUGAUCGAACUCGAGGGUAUGGCAGAAACGUUACCUGUUCUGCUUGAGAAGCUAAUAUAAAUGGCUCAAACCUGUUGUACCGUCGUGAUUUGUUCACGUCAACAACUCCAAACUUGUUUAGACGUACCCCUCUUCCACCAGUUGGAUCAAACCAAUCACAUUUGAAGAGAACAGUUUUCAGCCUUAACAAUCCAGGAUACUCUACUUCAAUUAUUUCUUGCAGAACUCCAUAAAAAUCUAUUUCACCCCUCACACAAACUCCAUAGUUAGUUGUCACCCGCUUUGCACCGUGACGGUAUGUGUGAAAAACAUAGCCUCGAGUGAAAUACAUGGAGGCUGUAGUUAUUUUUGCCAUCGGACCUAGUAGUAACUCAUGGAACCAUGUUGGAAAUUCAUCCGGAUCAUUCGGGUCCACCUAAUAAGAAAAAAAUUCCGCUUUAAUUUCUUGAUUUGGAUAUAUAGCAAAUUAAAGUAGUCUUUUAAUUAAAAUUUUAUACGUACUUGCCCUUUUAACCACUGGGCAUAGUGUUGAUCUUUACGAUCAUUGAUUUCAGUUUCAGAAACCCCAGAUAUGCAUUUUUUAACCUCAUCAACAAAUGUGCUGAGAAAAACAACAAAUAGUUAUUAAUACUGACAACUCAUAUAAAGAUAUUAUUAAUUAAAAAGUACAUUUCAUACGAUGACAACUCUUCACAAUUUAACAGGAUAUACGUAUGUGCACUGUGAUAAUCUUUUUCAUUGGACCACCAAACCUCUUUUAGUUUUCCACUAAGACGUCCGAUCGGCGAGAAUAUGUCAGGUACACCUUCAACGGCAUAUGUAUGGCCAACUCCUCCAUCAUCAUAUCGACGAGUAGCUAUUUUGCGUGUUCGUACUUUCGGUGCAAAAUAGUAUGAAGUGAAGUGUGAAGUCUCUUGCAUCAAGCUUCCCGCCACAAUUGAGCCUUCCACUUUAGCUAGGUUUUUGGCUUUACCUUUAAGAUGUUUCAUGAAACGCUCGAACGGAUACAUCCACCUGUACUGAACGGGUCCACCGAGCUCUGCUUCGUGUGGGAGAUGAACAGGAAGAUGUUCCAUAACAUCAAAAAAUGAUGGUGGGAAGAUCUUUUCCAAAUUGCACAACAAGAUUGGAAUAUUCAAUGUCAGUUGUGAUAUUACAUCAACUGAUAAUGUUCGUGUACUAAGAUCCCGAAAAAAAGCACCAAUGCCUCCAAUAGCUUCAUGGACAUUUUUGGGCAAGAGUUCAGCAAAUGCAAAUGGAAAUAAUCGUUGCAUAAACACAUGGCAGUCAUGGCUUUUUAUCCCAGCAAACUUUACCCCCUUCUCAACAGAUUUGGAAAGAUUAGAGACAUACCCAUCAGGAAAUUUAACGUCAGAAGAAACCCAUCUGAACAAUGCUGACUUUUGAUCUGCACUCAACCGAAAUAUAGGAACUGGUGCUUUCCUGUUUCUCAGUAGAUGCAACUCACUUCUGUUGCAUAAAUCAGGCAAGUCCAAUCUUGACUUACCAUUGUCUUUUGUUCUUCCCGCUACGUUCAUAACUGUAUGCAUGAUGUUAUCAAAAAAGUUUUUUUUCAAUGUGCAUGACAUCAAGAUUGUGUCUGAGCAGAUGAUCUUUUCAAUAAGGUAGUUGCCAAAAGAUACUUUUCUUGUGCCAAUUAUGAUGAACUCCAUAACCUUCAGGCAUAUUUGCAGGAGUGUGCCAGUUUCCCCCACGCGUUACUGUUUCCUCUGCCCUCCAAUGAUCGAUUUGCGCCUGUAUAUCAGCUCCUGUUAAAUUAACGGGUGGAGGGACAUGUACACUUUUGUUCUUUAUAAAUAACCUCUUGUUCCUCCGAUAUGGACGGUUAUCCGGUAAAAACCUCCGGUGACAAUCAAACCAACAAGUUUUUCUACCAUGAUUUAGCUGAAACACAUCAGUUCGAUGAAGCCAAUAAGGACAAGAUAGCCUCCCAUGUGUAGUCCAUCCAGAUAGCAUACCAUAAGUGGGGAAAUCGCUUAUUGUCCACAUAAGCACAGCCCGCAUAGUAAAAUUUUUCUUCGUAGAACAGUCAUAUGUAGGAACGCCAAUAUACCAUAACUGAUUCAACUCAUGUAUGAGUGGCUGCAGAAAUACAUCAAGAGCUCGCUUCGGAUGAUUUGGACCUGGAACCAAAAUACAUAGGAAAAGAAAUUCCCUUUGCAUGCACAAAUCUAGAGGAAGGUUAUAAAGAGUUAGGAUUACUGGCCAUAAUGAAUAUUGUCUACCAGACAUACCAAAUGCACUAAAACCAUCAGUGCACAGACCAAGAUAGACAUUCCGUUUGAACUUAGCAAAAUCUGCGUAUACCAUAUUGAAGUGUUUCCAUGCCUUUGCAUCUGAUGGAUGAACAACUUCUCCAUCUACUUGUGUAUGUUCCGCAUGCCAUCUCAUUGAUGCAGCUGUCCUUUCAGAUUGAUAAAGCCGUUUUAACCUAUCAGUUAUAGGGAGAUACCACAUACGUUGGUACGGUAUCCUUUUACGCCCACCAGUUUGCGGCCUGUAUCUUGGUUUUUGGCAAAAUCGACAUUCCUCCAACUGAUUAUCUUCUUUCCAAAAAAUCAUACAGUUGUCAACACAUACAUCUAUCAUCUCAGAAGGUAGACUAAGACUAAAAAUCAACUUCUGAAUUUCAUAGUAUGUUCCCGCUGCCAAGUUAUCCUCCGAUAGAUACUCUUUCAGAAGAUCAGCCCAAUCAUCCAUGCAAACCUCAGCCAGGUUAUGAUAUGUUUUAAUUGACAUCAUCCUAGCUGCCAACGAUAAUUUAGACAAGCCUUCUCUACAUCCUUCGUAGAUUGGCUGAUUAGCAUUGUCUAACAAAUUAUAAAAUCGUUUGGCAUCUACAUUAGGUUCCUCAACAGCAUUACCAGUAUGCGUUUCAUGAAAUGCAUCAGUCACCAUUUCGUGCAUCCUAUCAUGAUCUACACUUUGAUCAUAUUGAUACUGAUUAGGCUGAUGACCAUAAUUCGAUUCAUCAAUAUCAACAUGAAUUUGAUAAUUACUACUACUACCAGCAUUCCCAUGAGUAUUACUGCCAUAUGCUUCUCCAUGUAGAUGCCAAACAAAAUAUUGCGGCAUAAACCCUCUAUUUAAUAAAUGCGUCCACACGGUUUUGGUUAGUGUAUACCUCGUAUUCUUGCAUUUCAAACAAGGACAAAACAUCUUUCCACUAUCUUUCGUUCUCUCCAUAUUUGUAGCCUGAAACAUAAAUAUUUCUAACCGUUCUUGAACUCUUCUGUCAACGUCCCAUCUGAAUCUUUACGCAUAUACAUCCAACUUCUUAGCUCGUAUAUAGACAUCUUGAAAAUAAACUCAAAAUAAUAUCUCUUUUUAUUGAUUAGACAAUAAAGGAGGUGGUCUCUUGUGUCACGUCUAGCCACAUGAAUGGAGUAAAUUAACCUUAUAAUAUUAUUACUUCUUUUUUUCAAAGUAAUAUAACUCCUAAUUUGGGUUUCCAGCAAUGGACAACCCAAUAUAUAAUGAUUUACAACACUAUACUAAAAUUUAAGAGACCUACAAUGGGUCUCCAAGAUGAAGAUGCUCUUAUGUUUGAAUGAUGAUGUGUUGUGAUUGAAUGAAGGAAUGAAGAUCUAUUUAUAGGAAAAUUUCGGGCUUUACAACGCUUUUACGACGACUUUUUACGACGGUUUUACAUUCAACAAUAAUAUUACGACGAGUUUACGACGAUUAUGUGAUAAAAUCUUUCAUCUACAAUUGUUAGGUAAACAUGUUUUAAAUGUUUUUCACCUAACUUCUUUUUCAACGUAAAAUCGUCGUAAUAUUUACAUCGAAAUGCAGUCGUCGUAUAUUCGUCGUAAUUUUGCAUCGAAUUUACGACGAUUUUACAUUUACUAACAAAUCUCUCGUUAUCGAUGUAUAUUCGUCGUAAAUUGUACGUCGAGUUUACGACGAUUUUGUUAUACGACGGUGUUACGACGGUUUUUAAAUUAGAUGUAACAUCGUCGUAAAAUCGUUGUAAGUUUGCGACGAUUGUAAAACCGUCGUUAUGGACCGUUGGAAAACGAUUGUUUUCUUGUAGUGAAUAGCCUGAGUCUUUCAUAUCUGACCUGGAACAUACCAAUACACAUACCCAAAUUUAGCUGAAUCUUUGUCUCAUUAGUUUCUACCUCAUCAAAUCCAUCCAGUCUCAUUCACAUUUAAUCUAAUCUUUGGGAUUUUUAUUUCAGAUUAGAAGAUAACAAAAUUUAUAGCAACAAUAGUUUACUUUUUUCCUCCUAAAAAAAUAUAGAAGACAUUAGAAAAAAUGUGGAGCAAAUGAAUAACAAAGAAAAAAUAUUUUGUUUAUUAAAAAAAAAACUUAAUUUAGAGUUGCACUCAGAUGUAAAGAUAGCUUUUUUAUUUUGAAUUAAUUUUACAUUUAACUAAAAAACAAAAAAAAAAAGUGAGCAGCUGCCAUAUACUAAUAGAAAUAAACAUUAAUAAAAUAGAAAAGAAAGAAAAAUACCAGACAGCCAUUUUAACACAUAGUUAGUACUUAAUCUUCACCAGAUAUCCAAAACAUAUUAACAUACAUAAUAUUUACUUCAAAUGAAAGUGAAGUAGAAGAAGGGACAUGGUUUGUUGGUUUAUCUCAUGUAACAAAGUAAACUCAAUUCCAAAGGGUAUAAAACGUAGCAUAAACAUAUGCAAUAUAGUAUUUCAAUUCAUGGCUGCUUGUAGCUUAAUAUAUGGGAAACAAAUAGCAUAUAUUUGAGGAAAAUAAAAAUACAGAAGAGAACAAUUCACUUUUUGUGAGAGCUUCGAUAUCAAAAGUUGGUCAGGAAUCUAGGUCUAUUUGAGAGUCGAUACUCAAUUCUCUUACGGGUAAAAAGGAUAGUGGUGUUAUUGAAUUGGGGUCAUAAACGCAGCUUUGAGAUCAUGAGUCUGCAUUUUUAUAUGAAGUGUACAGCAAAAAACAAAUAAUUGUUUAUGCAUUUGUAAGAUAGAGAAUGUAAACCUAACAAAUGGGUUAUUGUCUAUGCAUUUGCUAACCUAUCAAUAUACCGAGAUAAUCAAAAGAAAAUAGUAAAUUACUUAAACUAUCAAAUGGGUUAUUGUCUACAAUUUGGAAUCAGCAGCCUUCAUAUAGUUGAAAGAAGAUAAAAACAAAAUGAAAGAUGAAACUGAGAGUGAAUAAGCUUAAAAGAUUUGACUACAACAGAUAGAUGAAAUGUAGAAGAUGAAGUUUUGUUAAGAUGAGAAGUUAAAUACAAAUAUGACCUAAUAAAUACGAAGGAGCCGAAGAGGCAGGAUGCCAAUAUCAAUAAAAAUGCAUAGCUUUUUGCAUUAAUUUUUUUUAUCAAAUGUAAUUGUAAAAAUUAAUUUUAAAGCUGAUGUGUCAAAAUAGUAGAUGCUGAUGUGUCAAGAUUGUGAGACACAACUCAGCUUUUAUAUAAUAGAUUAUGCUGUCUCCUUUUUCCUUUAUCUACGUCGCCUUUUGUCUUGAAAACUAGAUCUACUUUUUCUUUAAUAAGCUGUCCUCCACUUCCACUUGCUUUUUCCUUUUUCUUUUUAGACUCAACCCAUUUCUUCAAUGAUAAUAAUCGCCAUUCCCUUUUUUUUUAUUGGGCUCCCUUCUUCAAAAAUGAUGGCGAUCUUCUUUUUUUUUAAAUAGUGUCAUCCUUCUUCUUUCCUUUACCUAAGUUGCCUCUUUCUUCAAGACCAGAUCUCCUUUUUUUUUUAAAUGUCGCCGACCCUUCCUCCCUUGUUCGCCGAGUCUCUCCUUCAUCUUAAUUAAGCUCACCUGCUUUCAUUGAGGUCAAAGCAAAUUAUCCGACCUACUCAUCGCUGCUCUUUAAAGUCGCCGGCGACCUCUUUGGAGCAGAUCUGCCUUGUCCGUUUUUGAGAUCUCUAAUUACAGACCGACCUCCAUUACAUUCAGCUGCUGCGGUUCGACCUGCUAUGAGGUAGAUGCUUAUAAAUUAUCUUUUCUCCUUUCCCUUUUGUAUGUUCUUCCAAAACUUUGCUGAACUUGCUCCUAUAUCUGACCUCUCUAUUAUUUUUUUUUAUCCGAGCUUGAAUCCAUCCGAUCUGUCUUCUGUUUUUUUUUUUAUAAAAUUGAUUUGCUCAAUUUUCUAGACUGAUCCGAUCCCCUUAUCGCUCUUCUUUGUUAAGCACCACUUUGAAAUCAGCGUUUUUUUUUGUUGAGUUCCAUUUCGCCAAAAUUGAUUUGUUCAUACUUCCAGAACUCUCUUCCUCACCAGCUUAUGGUCUCCAUUUUUUUGUCGACCUUGUUUCUACUUACCCCGAACUACUGUCCAGUGAAAUCUUCUGACGUUUCCUAUAAAUUUCAUUCAUCGAUUCUCACAGAUGUCUCCAAACUCGACCGAUUCUACCAGUUCUUCCAGUUCGGAUUCUUCAAGCUCUUCCAGCUCGCCUGAUUCCUCGCCGAGCCAGAGUGGUCCUACUGAAAAACGAGUGGCUUCUCCUGCACCUGCUCCAUCCGAUCCGACUUCGUCUAGUUCCUCCAAUUCUUCUCAAUCCUCGCCGAGCCAGAAAGAUCCGAAAGGAAAACGUGUAGCUACCUCGGGUUCACCGUCCUCGUCUAGUUCUUCCCCGACAUCUGAGGAGGUCAGCCCAUCCCAGCCUAAUGACGAGAUUGGAGUGGGCCAAGUCUCUGACGAUCUUGACAAGGCGCUUAAUGUCGAAGUGAGUCAGCUUAACGAGACAGAGAGCGAAGGAAUGGUUCAGUUGGACGGAGUUGAUCUUGAAGCUCGGCGAGAGAUCGUCUUAGGUAUUCUUGCGAUUCGUCGUCAAAUUGUUACUCCUACGGUCGAAGCCUCUUGUUCUAAUAUAAGAGCAUUCUUAGAGCUUUAAAGGAUGCUGGGGCUUCAAAGAUCGGUGUCAAGAAACCGAAAGAUUUCCAAAGACCAUGGGAUGCUCCCGAAGGUUACAUAUGCGUUUACGAGGACUAUUUCCGAACUUGCGGACUUCGCUUUCCAAUUCCCAGUCGAUUGAUUGGAUAUUGUAAUCGUAGAGGAGCCGCCUUGUCUCAGUUGAUGCCGGCCUCUGUUACUAAUUUCGUUGGACUUCAGACCCUUGGGUCAGACAUCAAUUUUGAGGUCACAAUUUCGGUAUUCGAAGACUUGUGUCAAAUGAAGAAAAACAAGAAACCAUGGUACUUCUCUGCCUGUACGAGAUCGGGCUUCAAUCUGGUUUACUCAUGCAUAUGCGACAGUCUUCAAUUACCAUUAGUCAGAACUGGCUGUUAAGGAACGUAUCAAUGAUUUUCAGAGCACAAUCUAUUGCCAUGGUCGGGUCGGAGAGUUGUGCGUAUAGGCAAAUACGACAUGAUUUAUUAAGUUAUAGAAGAUCUGAUACAAAAACAUCUCCAACAACAAUUCAGUUCAUUUUCUUAAUCAAAGUAAUGCGAAAAGCAUUUUGGAGUUUCAUCCAAGAGAUGAUAGCCAACAAAAUAUAUAAAGGAGGGACAUAACAGAUUUUAUCUGUUAGCCUUUAAGACUUCUGAAAAUAAAACAUGUUUACUCUCCACUCCUUUAUCAAAAUUGUUUCAAUUUCCUUUAUUUGCGUUAACGGUUGUAUCGAAAGUGUUUUUUAUCUUGUAUACUUUGUAUAAUAUCAAUGUAUUUGAUUUGCCGAAAAAAAAAUCUUAUUUGUAUUAAUUAAUUUAGAUGUUUAGAAAAGAUAUAUGUCAUACUAUACAUUGCACAUUGAAUUUGAAAAAUUAAAACCUAUAAUAUUGCAUGUGCCAAAUAUUUACCCGAAAUAGUAUAACCAAAAUAUAUUAUAUGGUUCAUGAUUUUUUUUAUUUAUAAAUAAUAAUCCUUGAUUUUAGAGUAAACCAUGAUUAUAUCACCAAAAAAUAUUAUUAUUUUUUUUUUCUGUUUAAUCUUAUUGUGGUAUAUCUACUUUACCACUAAAAUAAUAUAAUGACUUACAAUAAAAUUACUGGUCAUGAUUUUUUAUGAUAAUUGUAUUCAUUUUUUACAAUAAACCGAGUGUCUGUCAUUAAUUAAUUAAUUUAGAUAACAUAUUAAUAUGAUAUGACUCUAUGAUUUAAUAAUUUAUGGAGAAAGAAAAAUUGAAAUAAAUAUAUGUCACACAUUGGGUAUAAAUUAUCUUAUACAAAUAUUUUUAAAUUAAUCAACAGAAUAUAUAAAAUGAUCGGCGAUUAGUUGCAAACAAAUAAAAACCUUAUACAUAAUAUCAAAAUAAAAAUACAUAUUAAUUUUCUUAUAUAUUCACGUAAUUUAAAAAUAUUAUAUUAUUUUUGCUAACUGAGCGUUAUCACAACUAUUUUUUAUAACUAUUAUAUAAUUUACACUGAAACCAAUUUUUUUUAAUCUUAUGAUUUUUAAAAAAUAAAUUUCUAUAAAAAGUUUAGAUAACAUGUUCGAAAACAUGCCAGCUUCGGCCGCAUAAUCGGCGAUAAGCGUUAGGCGGCUUCCAACCGCCGUGAUUUGGACUUAAUCGGUUCAAUAAUCGGUUUUUUUUUUUUUAAAAAAAAAACACUUUUCUGUAUGUUUUUAAGUUUGAAAUCGGAUAUUUCAUUGCAGAUCUAUCAUAAAUAUAUGUUAUUUUUAAAAAAACUAGCAAAAACAUCAAAAUCGUGAAAAAAGGUGAACAGCGGAGACUAAGGUUUACAUGUUGCAGGAAAGAAGAAGAAGUCGGGGGCAAAAUUAUCAUUUCGUCAAUAUUUAACAUAAAAAUGAUAAAAAGGACACAAAUGUGCCCUGCCAGACUCGAACCCACGUCUGCCACGUUUGAUUUUUGUUUUCUUUACUCAUAUUUAAUAUAUAAUUGUAUAAAUAAAUAAAAAUAUAAAUAAUUAAUCUCCGAUUAGUCUCCGGUUAAUCUCUGAUUUGUUAACUAAGCGCUAGGCGCAUCUCGACCGCCCAACUAGCGCCUAGCAAAAUUUUGAACAUGGGUAUUAUGUAAUGCACAGAACGAACUUGACGUUUUCCUUCUUCAAAGGUUUGCUUAUUGCAUUUUCGAAGGUAGAAUUUCACCAUUAGAAUUAUUUCACCUUACAUAAUUUAUAGGAAACUAUAUUUUUUAACUAUAUAGAUGAAAGACGAAAAAGAGAAGAAUCACUCCAAUCAAACUUUCUCUAAUCCAAUGCUCUAGCUAUACAAUAGGCUACUUUCAACCGCAUUGGCCAUUCCAUGGUUUCAAUUUUCUCUGUGGACCACAACAGAAGAAAACUUCGAAAGAUGCUAGCAAGUUCUGAGGUAAUCGAUCUACAAAGCAAUCAAAUGAUGAUACUAAUUCUACAAACAGAUACACUGAUACAUGUAAACUUAAGAAAUAAAGAGAUUUGAGGGAAAAGCGGAUUCUUUUCAUUCACAAACGAUUCUCUUUCAACACCGGUUUAUGAUAACACCAAAAUAUAUUAUAUGUAUAUAUAUAAUAUAAGCCUUAAUCAUUAUCACAUCUAAAUCUGAAUCAUAUAUUAAAUAUCAGACGGUUUAAGUUGGAGAACUUGGACAAAUGUUAGUCAAAUGCCGAGCUUUGCAACACCUUAGUCAUAACAUCAGCCAACUGCUCAGUUGUGCGCAGAUGUUUUGUUGCGAUUAAUUGAGGCUGAUCACACCAUAGUAAUCUAUAUAAAAAUCAUUAAUUCGUUGAUAAAGUUGCAUAAAGUGGUAUGCGUGUUCUCUAUGAUUCAAUUCGUUUUCUUUUGCAUAAAAUGUUAUAUAUGUAUUAUCCAAUGUAAGAAGUUGUAUACUGUUGUUAAGUUGUCCCCUCACAAUGACAUUACACGAGACAUAUCUUUUGAUUAUUUGGUAUAUUGAUAAAAUAUGUAUUUUUAGUGUUAUAUUUUGAUCAGUUUGAAUUUUUAUUUCAUGAUUUAAGAAAAAUACUAUUACAAUUUAUAACUAUUUGAUAAAACAACAAUCUUCUAAUAUUUUACGUAAUGAGCUCGAAGAGCGUAAUUAAACCUAGGUUAAAAAUUGGAUCCUUUUCCCAAGUAGUGCAAUCUCAUUUCAAUAGUGUGAGGUUUUAAUAUUGAUUUCAACCUCUAGUCUUAGCUCUUAACCUGAACUACUUAGAUCAAUUAACCUUGACACUUAGUUUGUUUGUUGUUUUCAAGCAAGACACAAGAAAAUUUGGUAACCCAGUUCCCUUUCGGUACGUCUGGGGAGAGACGGUACUCUUAACGGUCCACUAUAAUCGAUCAAGUGUUAACAAUAAUGAGUUUGUUCCUUCACCGUUUAAACUCACGUAUCUCUCUUCUUUCCUUUGUUUCAGGUACCACAAAGAAGAAAGACCAGAAACUAUUCACCUCAGUUUCAACCACAGAUGCCUUAACCCAGAAGAUGAAGACGAAAGCCUGAAAAACCCUUAACCGUGUAUCUCUAUUUCUCUUCUCCUUCUCUCGUUAAUUAUCUCUGCUCUUUCUCAAAGUCUGCAACUCCAAAAAAAGUUUAUAUAUAACUUUGAGUAAUCAUGUGGGCCUUAUACCCUAGCCCAACAUCAGUUUCUCUUGCACACUCUUGUAAACACACGUAUGGGCUUGAGCCCAAAAAAAUAGAAGCUUUGACCAGAUAAUGUGGAGUUGACCAUUAUCUUCUCCUUUGGUUUUAUCGACAAACUCCACAAAUCUCCACCUUGUCGAUUCAACCACCAAAAAACUACGACAUCUGCCUGAGACGAAAUCCUCCGUCGCCUCUCCGUCAUGUCACCGUUCUAGUGGACCUUCUCCGGCGCUGCUCCUUCUCCGACUUCACCAUCGUCCUUGAAGCUCGCCAUCGUCACGAUUCAUGGCUUUAAACAAGCCGAUGAAUCUCACCACCGUUUCUGCAAAUGAAGCACCACGAUUCCAGCUUAACCGCCGUUUCGUCGCUACCGGCGUUCAUCUCCACUGUCGUCUUUACCGACGAUAGCAUCUGCUGUCGCUGAUUUAACCAUCACCGACCCAACAUCUCAACUUUUCACCGGAGCAUGUCAAAAACCCAGAAAUCGUCGACUAUUUCUAGAUCCUCUCAUUUCCGAUGAUAGAUUGACGUUAAUUCAUCCUCACCGCUGACUGAUUCCGCUGCUAUCUUAACCGAUGCAGCUCAGCUCUACAAUCCCAGGUAAAUUCCGAAACUCCCAUAGCCAUCUCUUUACCAAGAUGUUAUUUCAGUUUCUGUUGCUGUGAUUUGCAAUUACUUCUGAAAUCUUACUGUCUUCCUUUUCAUCUGCAGCUGCUGAAGACACUUUUGAUUUCAAAACUAAGCAUCGUGAAUUUCAGGUAAAACCCCAAAUUCCUUUGACGCUUCCAAACUUUCAAAUUUGACCACCUGAAAAUUUUGCCAUUUGAGAAGAUCAACCCGUAAUGAAACACUUCUUCUCUGUUACCCUGAAAUGAUGACUUUUACCAAUCUCAUCUCACAUUUUUCAAACUUUACCAUCUGAAAAAAACUUUGUCGAUUUCUUAUGUUACCAAUACUGAAAUUUUUUUUUUUUUUUUCUCAAUAUCUUCUGUCUUUGUGAG